GCAUAUCAAUAAGCGGAGGAAAAGAAACCAACAGGGAUUGCCUUAGUAACGGCGAGUGAAGCGGCAAUAGCUCAAAUUUGAAAUCUGGCGCUUGCGUCCGAGUUGUAAUUUGCAGAGGAUGAUUUUGGUUAGGUACCUUCCGAGUUCCUUGGAACAGGACGCCUUAGAGGGUGAGAGCCCCGUACGGUUGGAUGCCGAGCCUUUGUAAAUCUCCUUCGACGAGUCGAGUAGUUUGGGAAUGCUGCUCUAAAUGGGAGGUAAAUUUCUUCUAAAGCUAAAUACCGGCCAGAGACCGAUAGCGCACAAGUAGAGUGAUCGAAAGAUGAAAAGCACUUUGAAAAGAGGGUUAAAUAGCACGUGAAAUUGUUGAAAGGGAAGGAUUUAUGACCAGACUUUUUCUAGGAGGAUCAUCCGGUGUUCUCACCGGUGCACUUCUUCUAGUCUAGGCCAGCAUCGACUUUCGGCGGUGGAUAAAAGCUUUGGGAAUGUGACUCCUUUCGGGGAGUGUUAUAGCCUAUUGUAUAAUACACUGCUGGGGGUCGAGGUACGCGCUUCUGCAAGGAUGCUGGCGUAAUGGUUAUCAAUCACCCGUCUUGAAACACGGACCAAGGAGUCGAACAUUUGUGCAAGUGUUUGGGUGUUAAACCCUCACGCGUAAUGAAAGUGAACGGAGGUGAGAGCCCUUACGGGUGCAUCAUCGACCGAUCCUGAUGUUUUCGGAUGGAUUUGAGUAAGAGCAUAACUGUUCGGACCCGAAAGAUGGUGAACUAUGCGUGGAUAGGGUGAAGCCAGAGGAAACUCUGGUGGAGGCUCGCAGCGGUUCUGACGUGCAAAUCGAUCGUCAAAUCUGCGCAUGGGGGGCGAAAGACUAAUCGAACCAUCUAGUAGCUGGUUACCGCCG
rnacentral:rRNA from 1 species